GUUCCUGGCUCAGGAUGAACGCUAGCUACAGGCUUAACACAUGCAAGUCGAGGGGCAGCAUGGUCUUAGCUUGCUAAGGCCGAUGGCGACCGGCGCACGGGUGAGUAACGCGUAUCCAACCUGCCUUACACUCUUGGACAGCCUUCUGAAAGGGAGAUUAAUACAAGAUGUUAUCAUGGGUAAGCAUUUUCGCAUGAUUAAAGGUUUACCGGUGUAAGAUGGGGAUGCGUUCCAUUAGA
rnacentral:rRNA from 1 species